rnacentral:rRNA from 1 species
UACGUAGGGGGCGAGCGUUGUCCGGAUUUAUUGGGCGUAAAGAGCUCGUAGGCGGUUCGAUAAGUCGGAUGUGAAAUCUCCACGCUCAACGUGGAGGGGCCAUUCGAUACUGUCGUGACUCGAGUCCGGUAGGGGAGUGUGGAAUUCCCGGUGUAGCGGUGGAAUGCGCAGAUAUCAGGAGGAACAUCCGUGGCGAAGGCGGCUCUCUGGGACGGUACUGACGCUGAGACGCGAAAGCGUGGGGAGCGAACAGG